rnacentral:rRNA from 1 species
UAAAUCAGUUAUCGUUUAUUUGAUAGUACCUUACUACUUGGAUAACCGUGGUAAUUCUAGAGCUAAUACAUGCUAAAAGUCCCAACCUCUGGAAGGGACGUAUUUAUUAGAUAAAAAACCAAUGCCCUUCGGGGCUUCCUGGUGAUUCAUGAUAACUUUACGAAUCGCAUGGCCUUGUGCCGGCGAUGGUUCAUUCAAAUUUCUGCCCUAUCAACUUUCGAUGGUAGGAUAGUGGCCUACCAUGGUUUCAACGGGUAACGGGGAAUUAGGGUUCGAUUCCGGAGAGGGAGCCUGAGAAACGGCUACCACAUCCAAGGAAGGCAGCAGGCGCGCAAAUUACCCAAUCCCGACACGGGGAGGUAGUGACAAGAAAUACUGAUACAGGGCCCAUCUGGGUCUUGUAAUUGGAAUGAGUACAAUUUAAAGCCUUUAACGAGGAACAAUUGGAGGGCAAGUCUGGUGCCAGCAGCCGCGGUAAUUCCAGCUCCAAUAGCGUAUAUUAAAGUUGUUGCAGUUAAAAAGCUCGUAGUUGAACUUUGGGUCUGGGUGACCGGUCUCCCCGAUUGGGUGUGCACUGGAAGCCCGGAUCUUUCCUUCUGGAGAACCUCAUGCCCUUCAUUGGGUGUGCUGGGGAACUAGGACUUUUACUUUGAAAAAAUUAGAGUGUUCAAAGCAGGCUUUUGCUCGAAUACAUUAGCAUGGAAUAAUAAAAUAGGACGUGCGGUUCUAUUUUGUUGGUUUCUAGGACCGCCGUAAUGAUUAAUAGGGAUAGUCGGGGGCAUCCGUAUUCGAUUGUCAGAGGUGAAAUUCUUGGAUUUUUCGAAGACGAACUACUGCGAAAGCAUUUGCCAAGGAUGUUUUCAUUAAUCAGGAACGAAAGUUGAGGGAUCGAAGACGAUCAGAUACCGUCGUAGUCUCAACCAUAAACUAUGCCGACUAGGAAUCGGGCGAUGUUUUUAAUUUGACUCGCUCGGCACCUUACGAGAAAUCAAAGUUUUUGGGUUCUGGGGGGAGUAUGGUCGCAAGGCUGAAACUUAAAGGAAUUGACGGAAGGGCACCACCAGGAGUGGAGCCUGCGGCUUAAUUUGACUCAACACGGGGAAACUCACCAGGUCCAGACACAUUAAGGAUUGACAGAUUGAGAGCUCUUUCUUGAUUAUGUGGGUGGUGGUGCAUGGCCGUUCUUAGUUGGUGGAGUGAUUUGUCUGCUUAAUUGCGAUAACGAACGAGACCUUAACCUGCUAAAUAGCCGGGCUCGCUUUUGCGAGAUUCUGGC